CAGAAAGAGAGACAUGAAAUCUGAGUAAUCAAAUUUGAUUUUCUCUCGUGGAAAAAUUUGAUUCUCUCUGUACAAUAUACCAAAUCUGAGUAAUCAAAUUUGAUUUUCUCUCGUGGAAAAAUUUGAUUCUCUCUCUUUACAAUUUGCAGAAAUUUGAUUCUCUCUCGGAUUUUCAUUUUUCAUUUUUAUUUUUCAUUUUCUUGUCAAAAAUUUUUCUGCAGAAAUUUAAGAAAUGUAAAAUCGAUUUAAACUAAUCGUGUUUCAUUUUGAAACUUUAUUCCUCUCUUCUCACUGUCGUGCUAAAUCUUUUUCUAUCCACCAUCGCGAUUCCUCUCUGUGGAAUGCUCCUCAUCUUCGUGUAUCAUCACCGACAAGCGCUUCUACAACGUCGGGAUUCCUUAUUGUCGACGAUGUCACAUCCAUUUCGAGCAUCACAAUUCUAGGAGUUGCGGAAUCGCUAGAGCAUCGGUCACGUUUGGAGUUGAGAAAGCCAUCACCCAUUCCACCACGACUAGUCUUCUUUGCAACAAUCUGAACACUCGAUAACUGAUUUUAAGUUAGAUUGAUUAUAAUCUUAGCUUAUUUUUGUAAACGAGGUGUUUGUUGAAAUGCCACAAUGAGUUUAUUAGGUUAAUUUUGAGUAUAACUCGUAAACAAGGUGUUUGUUGAAAUGCCACAAUUGUAGAAACUAUUAAGUGACUGUUCCUAAUUUUUCAUUAAUUGACCAAGAGAGAAGUCAUUGAUGAAGAGGGAUGGCUGCAUACCAGAGAUAUUGGAACAUGGAUAGUUGGUGAGACAUCAGUGUAUCACCAUCUUAUUAAUAGUCUAUAUUAUUUAGCAAGUUUCAUUCUUUUUAAAAAUUUUAAGUUGUUACUGAGAUUGCUUAACUUUAGAAAGUUUCUUUCCAAACCCAAAUAAAUUAGUAAAUUAAUUUAACAGUGUAAUAAGGCAUUGGAAGCACAAUAAGAUUCGAGGUGAAGUUCUUCUCGGGUUUGGGGUAGGAUCUUUGCUUUAGAGAUAAAUUUGACAUAGCAGUAGCCAAGGCAGUUGCAGAGACGAGAAUAUUAGGUACUAUUAUGGAAUUCAUGAUAAUUUAAUACUUUAUUGUGAUGUUAACAGUCGUUAAUUUGUUUGUUUGCUGAUUUGGUGUUUGCUUCUUAUUUGUUUUCGGGCUGAGUAUUGUCUUAUGUUGGUUCAUGUUGGUGGAAUGUUUAUUGCUGCCAAGGGUCAUGAUCCUGAGAGCAUCAUUAAAAAGUUUUACUUCCUAGUAUUGGGUUCAGUUUUUAAUCUCUUUCGGUUAGUGUUUAUUAAUGCAUGAUUGGAUGAUAAUGUAAGAAACUAUACACCGAUUGUAGAUCUAGAUUAAAUCCUAUAGUAUUUUGUUUUUUCAGAUUAAAAGUACAUCUUAGUGUUCCCCGCAAUUUGAAAAUCUAAGUGUUCCUCACAAGCUAAUUAUACUCACACUUUCGUUGGAUGGGAGACUUAUGAGUAAAUAUAAUUUUGGAACGGAUCUUCUCUGUUUUCAUCGGUCUUUGCAUGUAAACUCUUUUCUGAUAAGGAUGGUUGAUCACUGUAUUGGGGGUAUAGGUGGUUCAAUUAAUUGUUUAAUACUAAUGCUAGUUAAGUAUGUUUUAUUUAUUUAUUUUGACCUUCUAUUUUGUGUUAACACUUUGACUUAUGACACGCAAAUUCAACUGUGUUUACCAAAAUAAUAAUUUAAUGUCAAAUAGUUAUAAAUAAGAAGGCUUUAACAGUGUUUGGUCGUUUCCAAUUCUAGAACCAAAAUGGUUCUUGUAUUUGGCUGUGUUUAAGGUCAAACUUCCUUCCUAGUUGCAAUUAACUAUUUGGAUGUGUCUCCACCCGGCUUUCUUUGGAAAACCUGUAUGACGGCUUAAGGCCCAUUAUGUGGGCAUAGGGCUUAAGUAAUAUUUUAGUUUCUAUGGUCUAGUAAUUGUUUAACAUGCUAACAUUUUUAUAUAGGUGUGUAUAUGUGAUAGUUCCUUUUAAUUUUAUUAUUAGUCAAAUCCUAUGAAACACAGACCCCUCGAACACGACACUGAUACUGGCACGACGACACCGGUAAUAAUUUGAAAAAAUGAAUUCUCAUUUCGUGUAAUUCUAAUGAAAGAAACCUUUGAAGACAUCCACUUCAAAUUCUAAUGAAAGAAGCUUAUGAGAAAGGGGUAAUGUUCUAAUGCGGCCAACUGCUUGAAAAAAAAUACUGGUCAAGAAGGAGACUUGUCGAUGAAUAUGGAUAUGGCUUCAAGCACCGGGCCUGAUCCUCUAGCAAGAAUACCUCCCAGAACAGGAAAAUCAAGGACAACAAUUAUAAUCCAAAGAUUACUACGCAUGCUGCGAAUGUUGACCGUUAUUGCUGCAGUCAACGUUCCUCUUUACAUGAUGUUGCUAUUCAAGGAUUGGAUUGACAAGAUUUCCAAAAAGAGAUUGUUAAAGCAACGGAAACAUUUACAGCUAUAGGUUAUAAGCAUAUUGAAACAGGUCUUAGCAAAUUUUGGGAAGUUUUGAGCUUGUUUUGGCCAUAAUUGAAGACUGGUGGACAGAGCAAAGCACGCGUCGCGCCCUGUGCCAGAUAUUUUGUUGAAGCUUCCAACAGAGAAAAGCGCGCAUGGCGCGCUUGGGCGGUUUGAUCUACAAGUGACAUGGCGCGAUGCGCGCUGGAGGGCGCGACGCGCCCUGGACAAAAAACAGAAUUACUAUAUAAGGAGCAAAUCAGAUAUUUUAGUUCUUCUUGAUCUUUUAGAGAGCUCAAAGAACCAUUGUCUAUUGUAGCAAACUGAGACUUGAAGAAUCGAAGCUUUGAUCGUCGAUUAAUCGCCGUAGAUGCUUGUUGUUCUUCAUCCUUACCUUUUUGAGCAAGCUACCAUUUCUAUGGUUAGCUAAAUCUCUUUUGUAUCAAGACAAGAUGUAAUCCUCCUUUACUUUUGUAUGUUUUUCUUGUGAAUAUAUUAUGUAUGAACAAGUGAUGAUCAAUA